rnacentral:tRNA from 1 species
GACCCUAUCGUCCAGAGGCCUAGGACACCGCCCUUUCACGGCGGUAACACGGGUUCGAAUCCCGUUGGGGUCGCCA